GACGAACGCUGGCGGCGUGCUUAACACAUGCAAGUCGAACGGAAAGGCCCUGCUUUUGUGGGGUGCUCGAGUGGCGAACGGUUGAGUAACACGUGAGUAACCUGCCCUUGACUUUGGGAUAACUUCAGGAAACUGGGGCUAAUACCGGAUAGGAGCUCCUGCUGCAUGGUGGGGGUUGGAAAGUUUCGGCGGUUGGGGAUGGACUCGCGGCUUAUCAGCUUGUUGGUGGGGUAGUGGCUUACCAAGGCUUUGACGGGUAGCCGGCCUGAGAGGGUGACCGGCCACAUUGGGACUGAGAUACGGCCCAGACUCCUACGGGAGGCAGCAGUGGGGAAUAUUGCACAAUGGGCGGAAGCCUGAUGCAGCAACGCCGCGUGCGGGAUGACGGCCUUCGGGUUGUAAACCGCUUUCGCCUGUGACGAAGCGUGAGUGACGGUAAUGGGUAAAGAAGCACCGGCUAACUACGUGCCAGCAGCCGCGGUGAUACGUAGGGUGCGAGCGUUGUCCGGAUUUAUUGGGCGUAAAGGGCUCGUAGGUGGUUGAUCGCGUCGGAAGUGUAAUCUUGGGGCUUAACCCUGAGCGUGCUUUCGAUACGGGUUGACUUGAGGAAGGUAGGGGAGAAUGGAAUUCCUGGUGGAGCGGUGGAAUGCGCAGAUAUCAGGAGGAACACCAGUGGCGAAGGCGGUUCUCUGGGCCUUUCCUGACGCUGAGGAGCGAAAGCGUGGGGAGCGAACAGGCUUAGAUACCCUGGCAGUCCACGCUGUAAACGGUGGGUACUAGGUGUGGGGUCCAUUCCACGGGUUCCGUGCCGUAGCUAACGCUUUAAGUACCCCGCCUGGGGAGUACGGCCGCAAGGCUAAAACUCAAAGGAAUUGACGGGGCCCCGCACAAGCGGCGGAGCAUGCGGAUUAAUUCGAUGCAACGCGUAGAACCUUACCUGGGUUUGACAUGGAUCGGGAGCGCUCAGAGAUGGGUGUGCCUCUUUUGGGGUCGGUUCACAGGUGGUGCAUGGCUGUCGUCAGCUCGUGUCGUGAGAUGUUGGGUUAAGUCCCGCAACGAGCGCAACCCUUGUUCACUGUUGCCAGCACGUUAUGGUGGGGACUCAGUGGAGACCGCCGGGGUCAACUCGGAGGAAGGUGGGGAUGACGUCAAGUCAUCAUGCCCCUUAUGUCCAGGGCUUCACGCAUGCUACAAUGGCUGGUACAGAGAGUGGCGAGCCUGUGAGGGUGAGCGAAUCUCGGAAAGCCGGUCUCAGUUCGGAUUGGGGUCUGCAACUCGACCUCAUGAAGUCGGAGUCGCUAGUAAUCGCAGAUCAGCAACGCUGCGGUGAAUACGUUCCCGGGGCU
rnacentral:rRNA from 1 species